UUCUGAACAGGAGCAAACACAUCAAAAAAGGAGACGACAGUGAAACUCAGAGCUCCGAAGCAGGGGAAGAAGGCAAGGAGCAGGAAGACCUUUUAUCCCUAAAUCUGGCAGAAAAUGAAAACAAAGAUUAUUGAAAAUCUGCAUUUGGAGUUUGGAUUCUUAUAAAACACAUGUGUGGAUUAACAGGAAGCUGACAAAAUCUCCAAGAUCUCUUCUGAUGACGGCUAGCGCUGCUGGAGGGCAGGCUAUCCCGGAGAAGCAGCUCUGGGAAAGCACUUUGAGACAGUAGCAGACAACAGUUGAUCCCUUGGAAAAGGCAGUAGAAGCAGGUGCUGGAGAUCGGCAAGAGCCCCACAAGGAAAGACGAAACACGUCUUUUGCACUGUCACGGACAUGGUAGACAUAGCAGGAAGGAGUAUUCAACCAGUACUGGUAAAGUUCAUGCAUGAAUCUCAACACCACAGAGAGGAACACGGGUGUUCUACCUUCGGGAGCUGAUGUAGACAUUUUGACUGCGAAAUUUCACGCUAUGAGCUCAGUGAUGGGAUUUCUGUCCUCCUCCAGGACGAUAAAGGAAAAAAGGCAAAUGAACUGAAGGAAGUUCACCAUUCUCAACAGAUAGGCAGAGGUGACAGAGGAGGUGGUCAGAAAAUGCACAGCAUUCAACAUUCCGCAGCUCCUUCAGAUGAGCUUUUAAUUUAAAUCCCUUUGUGUUGUUCCUAGAAAGGAAAUCAAGUUUCAUUUGCCUAGGAAGUACAACUGGUAAGUAUUUCCGACGUCGUCAAUAAUUCGAACACUUUGACAAUGAAGCACCUUUGUUUUUUGGGUUCUGAAUGUCAGUAAGUUCUGUUUUCAGAAAUUUUGCCUUGGGUGAAGCAUAGAUUUACAUGUCAAUAUUUUGAGUUGACUAAGGCAAAGAAAAUAAAAAUGACAUUCACUC